AACAAAUGCAGAUGUCUCGGAGGUUAUGAAGGAGAUAUUUGUACGAUUCCUAUCUGUGAUCCAGAAUGUAAGAACAAUGGAACUUGUUCUGAACCUGACACAUGUUUAUGUACAAAUGAAUACGAAGGAGACUUGUGUGAAGUGAGUCUUCUACCUGAAAUAUCAUGUAACAACAUCACUGCUAUGAAAGAAUAAAGGUCAGGGUUCUGUUUCAACUACUUUAAGGAUCGACGCAGUUACAGAUGAAUCCUUUAAAGCAGAUUAUUUUGUUGUCUAUGUUAACAAACAUCAGACUACAACACGCAAACAAGCAAUUUUAA